GAUGAACGCUGGCGGCGUGCCUAAUACAUGCAAGUCGAGCGAACAGACGAGGAGCUUGCUCCUCUGACGUUAGCGGCGGACGGGUGAGUAACACGUGGAUAACCUACCUAUAAGACUGGGAUAACUUCGGGAAACCGGAGCUAAUACCGGAAAAUAUAUUGAACCGCAUGGUUCAUUAGUGAAAGACGGUUUUGCGGUCACUUAUAGAUGAAUCCGCGCCGCAUUAGCUAGUUGGUAAGGUAACGGCUUACCAAGGCGACGAUGCGUAGCCGACCUGAGAGGGUGAUCGGCCACACUGGAACUGAGACACGGUCCAGACUCCUACGGGAGGCAGCAGUAGGGAAUCUUCCGCAAUGGGCGAAAGCCUGACGGAGCAACGCCGCGUGAGUGAUGAAGGUCUUCGGAUCGUAAAACUCUGUUAUUAGGGAAGAACAAAUGUGUAAGUAACUAUGCACGUCUUGACGGUACCUAAUCAGAAAGCCACGGCUAACUACGUG
rnacentral:rRNA from 1 species